CAAUAGCGUAUAUUAAAGUUGUUGCAGUUAAAAAGCUCGUAGUUGAAUUUCUGACGCGCACGCCGGUCCGCCCUAGUGGUGAGUACUUGUGUGGUGUGUGUCAUAUUUGUCGGGUGGUGUGUGCCAUUGAUUUGGUGUGCGCCGUGUAGCCCGACAUCGAUUACUGUGAACAAAUUAGAGUGUUUAAGGCGGGCUGUAGGCUUGAAUACAUUAGCAUGGAAUAAUGAUAUAGGACUUUGGUGCUAUAUUCGUUGGUUGGGUACCAAGGUAAUGAUUAAUAGGGAUAGUUGGGGGUAUUCAUAUUUGAUUGUCAGAGGUGAAAUUCUUGGAUUUAUUAAAGAUGAACAACUGCGAAAGCAUUUACCAAGGAUGUUUUCAUUA
rnacentral:rRNA from 1 species